rnacentral:rRNA from 1 species
GGUCGGAGCGGCUUCGUGCCGUGACGGCGUGCCUAUUGAAUAAUGAGCCUACGAGUUACUAAUCACUGGCAAGGUUAAGUGCACGGAUGCACGGAGCCGAAGCGAAAGCGAGUCUGAACAGGGCGUUUAGUUAGUGGUUGUAGACGCGAAACCUUGCGAUCUACCCUUGAGCAGGUUGAAGGUUGGGUAAAACCAACUGGAGGACCGAACGAAUAAGCGUUGAAAAGCUUCUCGAUGACUUGAGGGUAGGGGUGAAAGGCUAAUCAAGCUGGGAAAUAGCUCGUACUCCCCGAAAUGCCUUUAGGGGCAGCGUUGUAAUUAAGAGUCUACUGGAGGUAGAGCUACUGAUUGGAUGCGGGGGCUUCACCGCCUACCAAAUCCUGACAAACUCCGAAUGCCAGUAGUAUGAUUUACAGCAGUGAGCGACCGGGUGCUAAUGUCCGGUUACGAGAGUGGAACAACACAGACCAGCAACUAAGGUCCCGAAGAGUAUACUAAGUUGAUCUAACGAUGUUUUGCUGCAGAGACAGCUAGGAUGUUAGCUUGGAAGCAGCUAUUCAUUCAAAGAGUGCGUAACAGCUCACUAGUCGAGCGACAGAGCGUGGAUAAUAAACGGGCAUCAAGCAUAUCACCGAAGUUCUGGGCGCGAGAGCGCGGUAGGGGAGCAUUCCAUUCAGCGUCGAAGCAGUUUCGUGAGGAAUUGUGGAGCGUAUGGAAAAGCAAAUGUAGGCAUGAGUAACGAUAAUGCGGGAGAGUAACCCGCACACCGCAAGACCAAGGUUUCCUGAUCAACGCUAAUCGGAUCAGGGUUAGUCGGGUCCUAAGGGUAAGCCGAACGGUGAUCUCGAUGGAUAAUCGGUUAAUAUUCCGAUACUGACAUAUACCUCGAUGGAGAGACGAAGGAACGUAAGUGCCGCCACCUGACGGAAUAGGUGGUUAAAGGGCGUAGAUAUAGGGGCAGAUUAAGAGUUAGUCCUUGCUGAAACCUGACAGUACAGAGAGCCUACGGGCAAUUUGAUAGAGCACCCAAGUCGACUUCCGAGAAAAUCUUCUAAGUUAUAGUAUAUGUUACCCGUACCGUAAACCGACACAGGUGGUCGAGGAGAGUAUCCUAAGGUGCUCGAGUGAAUCACGGUUAAGGAACUAGGCAAAUUGACCCCGUAACUUCGGGAAAAGGGGUCCCUAUGAAAGUAGGGCGCAGCGAAGAGGUCCAGGCGACUGUUUAUCAAAAACACAGGGCUCUGCAAAUUCGAAAGAAGACGUAUAGGGCCUGACACCUGCCCGGUGCUGGAAGGUUAAGAGGGGAUGUCAUCGCAAGAGAAGCAUUGAAUCGAAGCCCCAGUAAACGGCGGCCGUAACUAUAACGGUCCUAAGGUAGCGAAAUUCCUUGUCGGGUAAGUUCCGACCUGCACGAAUGGUGUAACGAUCUGGACACUGUCUCAACCGUGAGCUCGGUGAAAUUGUAGUCCCGGUGAUGAUGCCGGGUACCCGCAACGGGACGAAAAGACCCCGUGAACCUUUACUAUAGCUUAACGCUGAAUUUGGGUACACAAUGUGUAGGAUAGGCAGGAGACUACGAAGCGGGCACGCCAGUGUUCGUGGAGUCGACGUUGAAAUACUGCCCUUUGUGUACUUGAGUUCUAACCCUCGAGAGGGGACACCGUUUGGUGGGUAGUUUGACUGGGGUGGUCGCCUCCAAAAGCGUAACGGAGGCUUCCCAAGGUACCCUCAGCACGAAUGGUAACCGUGCGUAGAGUGCAAUAGCAUAAGGGUGCUUGACUGUGAGACAUACAAGUCGACCAGGUACGAAAGUAGGGUAUAGUGAUCCGGUGGUUCUGCGUGGACUGGCCAUCGCUCAAAGGAUAAAAGGUACUCCGGGGAUAACAGGCUGAUCGCCGCCAAGAGCUCAUAUCGACGCGGCGGUUUGGCACCUCGAUGUCGGCUCGUCACAUCCUGGGGCUGGAGAAGGUCCCA